rnacentral:lncRNA from 10 species
UUUUUAUGUACUAAAUCUGGCAACCCUACAUGGGUAUCUUUUUGACAGUGAGGACGCUCUACCAGAAGAUGGGUGCUCCUGUGUCAUUGAUCACAACUGAGACCCAUGCCCAUGCUGGCUCCAAACUUCAGCAAGGGAAGCGGAGCCUGCAUAGAUGACUUGGAUCACUAGGGAUCAUCCCUUUGGGCCUCCUGGAGAACAUGGACAUGAGACCAUCAUGACUGCAAAGCACUGUUCUCUUCCUUAUAUCCUACUACUGAGCCCGGAGAAUGAGAGUUCCAUCACCCAUGCCUGAACCUUCGGGAUGGAAAAUACUCUGGAUUUUAUAACCAAAUGCUGAUAUAUAUGGAUAAAGCCUUGGGAAAGAACGUUAUCAUCCAACAAGAAUGCUGGAAAACUGCC